AUUGAACGCUGGCGGCAUGCCUUACACAUGCAAGUCGAACGGCAGCACGGGAGCAAUCCUGGUGGCGAGUGGCGAACGGGUGAGUAAUACAUCGGAACGUGCCCAGUAGUGGGGGAUAGCCCGGCGAAAGCCGGAUUAAUACCGCAUACGACCUACGGGUGAAAGCGGGGGAUCGCAAGACCUCGCGCUAUCGGAGCGGCCGAUGUCAGAUUAGCUAGUUGGUAGGUAAAAG
rnacentral:rRNA from 1 species